rnacentral:lncRNA from 1 species
CUAGAUAAUUACAAAAAAAAAAUUGAAAAACUUAUUACCAUUGGAGAGCUCAAUCUCUGCUUUCAAAACUGAAAUCAUAUGAUCUAGCUAGACAUUAUUAAAGGGUUAUAUACAUCAAAACAAAAGAAUUCUUUGGAGAGUUAAACAUGGUGUCUUUGAAGAGAAGAUCUAUGAGUGUAGUGAAUUGUAGUAGAGUAUAGUAUACUCAAUCUGAAA